rnacentral:rRNA from 1 species
CAGCAGCCGCGGUAAUACGUAGGGGGCGAGCGUUGUCCGAAGUUACUGGGCGUAAAGCGCGCGUAGGCGGCUUCUUAAGUCUGAGGUGAAAGGUUCAACGCUUAACGUGAACAAUGCCUUGGAUACUGGGGAGCUUGAGUAUGGGAGAGGGCAGUGGAAUGGCUGGUGUAGCGGUGAAAUGCGUAGAUAUCAGUCGGAACACCCAUGGCGAAGGCAGCUGCCUGGCCUAAUACUGACGCUGAGGUGCGAAAGCGUGGGGAGCGAACGGGAUCAGAUACCCCGGUAGUCCCUGUCUCUUAUA